rnacentral:tRNA from 1 species
GGACCUGUGGCGCAACAGUAGCGCGUCUGACUCCAGAUCAGAAUGUUAUGUGUUUUAAAUCACAUUGGGUUUA